UACGGGGGGGGCAAGCGUUGUUCGGAAUUACUGGGCGUAAAGGGUUCGUAGGUGGCCAACUAAGUCGGACGUGAAAUCCCUCGGCUUAACCGGGGAACUGCGUUCAAAACUGACAAGCUAGAGUAUGGUAGAGGGUGGUGGAAUUUCCUGUGUAGCGGUGAAAUGCGUAGAUAUAGGAAGGAACACCAGUGGCGAAGGCGACCUCCUGGACUGAUACUGACACUGAGGUGCGAAAGCGUGGGGAGCAAACAGG
rnacentral:rRNA from 1 species